UUUCCAGUGCUCCUCUACAGCCCUCUUAUUCGUAGGGUAGAAAACACAGGCAAUGCAGGCACAUCAGAUUCUUAUAGCUGCUAUUUAGCUGCUUUUAUGAAUUCUUUGCCACAGCUUUUCUGGCACCAAACCCGUGUAAGGACUCCACAGCAUUACAAUCCUGCACUUUCCAUCUCCAGGGCUUCAGGGAUUUAGUACAGGUACCCUCAAGGGAAAGGGAGCAGGAAAAGCUGGGCUAGUCAAUCCAAAGAGAAAUGAACCUACUGAAGACAUGCAGAUACAGCAAGAUGUCUAAACAGAAUGACCUGUUAUGAGAAAUGAGAGAUAGUCUUGGAAAACACUUUGGGAACUUUUAGGAUAAAGAAGAACACACUUUCUCCACAGUUUGGAUUUGAGUCACCCAGGGAGGAGGAUGAGAAUUUUCCCGUGAGCUCAGAAGACUUUGUUGUUUGGAGACCAACACGGAGGAACCUACUCAGAGGUUGGUAUUUUCCCAACAUUCCCAAGUUUGCAGGUGAUGGGCCUCCCAGUCUGGAGCUGCAAAGCUCCUGCCUUUACUGGAAUUUUGGAAGUUCUAGGUUCUGGUGUCUAUGUCACACAAAUGGAUGAAGAGCUGGGAGCCACCAAGUUCAAACUUUUAGGUAUGUGUCAUACAAAAAAAAUGUUUCCAUUCCUGGAAGAUUUGAAUUCUUCAUAUUUACCUGUUUGACACAUUAUACUCAACAAAUGUUCUGGGAGAGAAUAAAAUCCAUUCUGGUAGCAUGCCAGAUUUUCCAAACAGAAAUGCUCAUAAGUCCAAUAGAAAAAGAUCCAUCUCUGUCAAUCCUUUAGCUGCCAGUAAUCUGUUGGAACAUUGGUCAAGGGAAAACUCCUCAGAAUCUACAUCAGAAAAAUAAUUCCAAGGGAAGAAGCAGAUCCAAAACUUAAUUUGCCUAAUGCUUUUGAAAGCAAAGCCCAUGAAUGAAACCCUUCAGUCCUGAGUAUAUUUGGGUCUGGACUGACAAGAUAAGAGAUUACAACUCUACUAAAAAAGUUAAAUAUCAGUAAACUCAUUUUGCAAAUCCACAGAACAGACUUCUCUUGGGAUUCAUUUGAACAUGAAGUGAUAUUUAGGAUAGGAUGCCUUAAAACUAUCUAAACCAAAGACACUUCCUUUUCAUUAUGCGUGAUAAAGAGCCUAAACUCAGUUUAGUGCUGAGUGAGCCUUUAUAUAUGACCUACAAAACCCAGAAAGACAAAAUGGAAAUGCUGACAUAACAGUAUUUGAGUGUAACUGCUUAUUUUUUUGACAAUUUGGCAUUCUCAUAAAAAUCAGUUUUGCUA